AUUGAACGCUGGCGGCAGGCCUAACACAUGCAAGUCGAGCGAGUGGCGGACGGGUGAGUAAUGUAUGGGGAACUGCCCGAUGGAGGGGGAUAACUACUGGAACCGGUAGCUAAUACCGCAUACGCUCGGAUGUGCCCAGAUGGGAUUAGCUAGUAGGUGAGGUAAUGGCUCACCUAGGCGACGAUCCCUAGCUGGUCUGAGAGGAUGACCAGCCACACUGGAACUGGGACACGGGCCAGACUCCUACGGGAGGCAGCAGUGGGGAAUAUUGCACAAUGGGCGGGAGCCUGAUGCAGCCAUGCCGCGUGUAUGAAGAAGGCCUUCGGGUUGUAAAGUACUUUCAGCGAGGAGGCGUUACCCGCAGAAGAAGCACCGGCUAACUCCGUGCCAGCAGCCGCGGUAAUUC
rnacentral:rRNA from 1 species